UUUAAGACUAUGAUGAGGAAUAGUAAAAAUUAGAUCCUUUUCAGAGAGGGAAUGGUUGGUGCGAAUUCCUAAAGGACUAAUUUUGAACCCACCUCGGAGUCCUGCACCGAAAUAUAAGUAGGCUGCAGCGGUUUGACCGUUAUCCUAUUGAGAGAAUAUGCUUUUUGCAUAUUAAUUAGGGUGGUACCGCCGAAUUCAUGCCUCGGUCCCUUUU
rnacentral:ncRNA from 1 species